AUAUAUAUAUAUAUAAACAUACACAAUAUUUCCUCUCCCCCACCCAAUAAAAUUCACAUAUCAGCUCGUUAAAUCGAAAUGGACGAUUAUAAUACCGAGCAAAAAGUAUGAAAUCUAAGACAAUGCGAAUAAUAAGGAGAAAAAAAUAACAAAAUAUUGUUUGUGUGUAUAUCUAUAAGGAAAGUGUGAGAAAAGAUGAAACAACGUGUCAUUUUCAUUUCUUUCUUCUUAUAGUUAAAAAAAGAAAAAAAAAAUAGGAUAUUAACGAAAUAAGAUGUUCUUUCUCAUUUCUCUGCAAUCGUCGUAGUAAACUGUUUAAAAAGAGAAAAAAAAACAAAAAAAAAACAAAAAAAAAUUGAAAAAAGAAUAAAGAAAGAAGAAAAAAAAGAACAACAUUAUAUAAUAAAUAUAAUUGAUAAUGUUAAUUACUAGGAGUACAAUAAAAAAUUAAUAAUGUAUAACAAAUACAGUAAUACAAGUGUAUGGAGUAUUUCUGCCAUUUUCUUUUUGUGCCAUGGGUUCUCCAAAAAAAAAAAAAAAAAAAAAAAAAUGAUCGUACCCUUCAUAUCCUAAUACGAAAUAGUAUAAUAUUAUUUCCUCUUUUAUGCAUUAUGUCUUUAUUAACCCUUUAAAUGUAUUUGACAAUUAUAAUCGUCGUGCGAAAAAAAUUAUGAAAACUUUCGCUAUUUAUUCUUUCACUAUUGAAAUUUAAAAAAAAAAAAAUUGAAAGCUAAAAAACAAUAUUCGUAAAUUCAAGAUAUUUAAAAAAGCAUUUAGAGACAACGAAAUAAAAGAAAACAAAAAAAAAAAAAGAAAGAAAGAAAUCCGUCAGAUAAUUAAACAUUAUUGUCGUAAUCUUUCUUUUUUCUUAUGGUUAUUUGUUAUCAGAAUUUCUAUUAAUUUCUGUAUUAUAAAUUUUAUUAGAUCUGACUUCUUUUAUAAAAUAUGUAAUAAUUACGUUCUCAAAUUUCAGAACUAUAUCUAUUUUGAUAAAAAAAAGUAAUAUUUUUAAGAUAUUUUUAUUGGGAAAUUUAUAUAAUUUUUUUUAUUAAUACAUAUACUCACAUCCACAAACAAUUUUUUUUUAUCUCAAUAAAAGAACGUGUUAUUAUAAUUUAUAAUAAUUGCUUAAGUUAGAAAUUUGUUAAAAAAAAUAUUAUUUGUUAUAAUCUCAACGCGAUAGUUCUUUCUCAUACUUAUAAAAAUAAAUGUUUUCGCUAUAUUGAAAGUACGUCAUACUGUAUGAUUUCUAAAAGUAAAGAUUUAAAAAAAAAAAAAAAAAAAAAUCGUUCAAUUAAAAAAGAAUCUCCAUUUUCUUUUCAAAUUGUUCCGUCUAAUUUUUAAAUAUCGAAGCCAUUCUUUUAAAAUUUUACCAUAGUGACGAUAUAUACGACGCUUCGAUGAUUGGAUAGAUAGUUUAAAAAAAAAAAAAAAAAAAAAAAAAGUAUACUUUUCUAUAAUGGAAGCGUUCUGAUAUCGUAUACACAUCUAUUUUCAAUUGUCAUCUAUUAAAAACAUAUUAUAUGAACCACUCGUUUCACCAUACUCGAAAAAUAAAGUGCAAUCUUAUACAUUACAAUUCCAACUGACAAGAAUACUAUUCUAGGAAUUUUCUAUUAUAAUCAUUCGCAACUUUUAUAUAUACGUAACUAUUUCAUAAAUAGAAUACCAGCCAAUCAGCGACAAUCGCAUUUCUUCAGAAACAUAGGGAUAAAUCUUUCAUAAAUAAAUCGUACGCUUUAAUUUGAUACCUUCGUACGAAAUCUUAUAAUUUAUUCGAUAUCGUUGGAUGAUUGAAAUUAUUAGGAUUUAGACGGACCACUUCAAUUAAUGUAUUUUGACGUUAAACUUUUCAUUUUUAAAGACUCAUGAUACUUUACGUAUUUGACACAGGCUAAAGCCAAAUUAUAAUUACACGAUGAAAAUCCAAUACUAAAUAAAAAAAAUAAAUGAUGGAACAAUUGGAAGAAGCAUUGCUAGCAAUAAUAGUAUUACGUACUAGUGUUGAUCAAUUUUUCGGAGUUUUUCUAAAUAAUUUACAUGAAGAAGAUGAAUAUAAACAUGUCGUACGUUUACAAGGAUUAAUGACAACAAUUAAUAUAAAUUUAAGAAAUUUAGCUGAAAAAAUAAAAAUUUUGGAUCCGCUAUCAUAUCCAUUAAAUUUAGAAAGCAUAACUGAUCUCGAUGAGGAGACUGCAGAGCAAAGGCAAGUCAAUUCUAUGAUAACUACCUUAAAUCAAUUGUUUGACGAUAUGACAGUAUCUAUAUCCAAAUCGGUCACAUCAAUUGCAACAUUUGAUGUUAUAUUAGGACAUGUCUUAAAGGCAGUAAUAGUAAUUAGAGGCAUAGUGAUCGAAUGGGUUGUUAUAAAAGGUUAUGAAGAAUCAAUGGAUUUGUGGACACAAUCGAGGCAUAAAGUCUUCAGAAAAGUAACAGAAAAUGCACUUGCUGCUAUGUUACACUUUUAUUCUACAGAGUGUCCUGAAUUAGCUGUACAAUCAUUUAUGAUUUGGUUGCAUAGUUUAAUCAAUUUGUUCAUUGAACCAUGCAAACAUUGUGGUCUAUAUCUAAAACAAGUUUCACUUCCAACGUGGAGAGAUUUUAAUACUUACGAAGCAUAUCAUGAAGAAUGUAAAUCUUGUGAUAUAACUGAAGAUUUUAUAAGUUCAAAUUAAAUCCAUUACUUUUCAUAGAAUUUUUCUUUUGUAAAAUAAGACAUUAUUACAAUUGUUAUCUUUCUUUAUGUGACCAAAUUAUUAUCUUCACCACGAUUGUUAACACCUUCAGAAAGUGUACUUAGGGUUUAUAGCUAUUUACGUCUAAUUAAUUAAUCACUAAAAAAGGAUAAAGUACUUAGGUUAGAAAGAUUUUAUGAUUACAUAUAUAUAUUAUUAGUUUUAGUGAUUUUUCUUUUUUUCUUUGUAAACUUUUUAAUUAUCUCUAUGUAUUAAUAAAUAGAUUUAUAAAAACUUUGUAGUUAUUACAUUGAUAUAUACUUGUCUGUUAUCUAAUCAACACUUUAUACAGCUAACUCAUUUUAUAUUUUGUGUAAAAUAUGAUUAAAAUAUGGAAGGAGAUUACUUGAGUGAUUAUUUUAUUUGAAGUUUUACACUGCUGCAUGCAUUUGUGAUAGGUUAAUGUAUUUCAUCACGCACUUGUCACCGAUAUCUUUUUCUUUCAGAACAUGAUUUUUUACAAAAUUGUUUUCUCACUUUAAAUCAAUAAAAUUCGGAUUUACAUAUUAGACAAUAUGAAAAAUACUCGUGCGUCGACGGAUAAGUACGCAUAUGACUCACUAGAUGGUGCACAUAGGCGAGAGAAUGGUGAUCUCUUUGCGACUGUUACGCCUCUUCUGGCAAAACACAUAACUAACACACCUUAGCGCCACUAAAUACACACAUGAGAAACCAAUCAAAUAAAGAGAGAGAGAGAAAGAGAGAGAGAGAGAGAGAGAGAGAGAGAGAGAGAGACGCCGAAAAUAAAGGAGACGAUAAAGACUCCAGAAACAAAAAAGAGAUCAUUCAUUUUUUCUUUGAUUUUUCUUAAGAUCAUAGCUGUUGAAAGUGAUAGUCUGAUUAAACUACUGUGUACCUAACAAAGUUAAAUAAAUAUAUCGCAAUUAUCGUUUAAUGUGUAAAGUUUCUUUUAGUUGGUUAUCCAAGAAAAACUAACAAUUGAUGAUCCCGAUGUAGUGAUCUUCGUGCAUCAAGAGCUUCUCUACUAAAAGAAAAAUGUAUCGGCGUCAGCCAUCCUGCCUUAUUAUGAAACACGAGAUACAAAAAAAAAGAAAUUAAUAAAUAAUAAAUAUUUUAAAUUACUAUCAGCUUCAUGUACAGAACACUUGAAAAAAAAAACAAACAAAUACCGAACACCAUAUUAAAAGUCAACAAUGUAUACACAGACCUAUUAAGAUUCGACGCGAAUCUAAAUUAGAUCUCCACGAAUUAACGAUAACGGCAAGUUAAACACAUUGAGAUAUCAGUGAUAAAGGAACUCAUUCUGAACAAAUGUAUCAAAACAACAACGAAUAAGAGACCAUUAAACACUUCGACAGUAUCAUCCAUCCUAUCAGCGUCAAUGACAGAAACAACAGCAAAAAAAUACUUCUGGUAUGCAGAACCUGCACAACUAUAAUCAACUACUAGCUCUUAACAAUAUACGACGUGACAAUUAUCACUCGAUAAGUCAACCUAAAUUCAUGAGAUUCACAAAAAUUCGACCGUAUCCCUAAUUCAAUUUGGUUGAAUCUAAAUUCACCAUUUAUGGAAUCUUCGAUGAUAAAGUAAAAUAUCUGACAGUCAUUAAGGCCUUGGACCACAACAUGAUGGAGCAAUUUUCAAACAUAAUACGGCAGGAGCCCACUACAGAUAAAUAUAAAACUCUCAAAAAUGUGAUAAUCUCAGGACUUCCUGAUUCCAGACACAACCAAAUAAAAAAACAUUUACGUAAGAUAAGGCUUGCAAAGAGAACACCUUCUCAGCUUCUGUGAUACAUGCGCACAUUGGUUAGUAGUUUCAUUGAUAAUACCAUAUUGCAACAAAUUUGAUUUGAACAAAUGCCAGCACAUAUCAAACAGCAUCUGAUUAAGAUAAGUGAACUUCCGCUUGAUAUUAUAGCCGUGUUUGCGGAUCGUUUUUACCAACUGGUAUCCAACAGUCGACAGAAUGACCUGGUCAUGAGAAUCUUCGUACCCUAUUCUGCAUCGACUCCUUUGUGUACUGACCCAAAGAUUAUGGAAAUUCAAAGAUCUUUUUUUAUGUAUAUGACAGAGAUCAUUGAGUUUAAAUUAACCCAAAAAAACAAACAACAGUAUCUAUUAACAGCUCACAUUACUUCAACAACAAAAUCAACAACUGCAGUCCCAACAAUCUCCGAUGCACCAUAACUGCAGCAGACUAAGAUCAUUGAUAUUUGCACGCAUUGACAUCUGUUGUUAUCACCAAAUGUUUGCCAACGAAACAAAACCCUGCAUCUUAUCUUGCAAAUUCGCUUUAACAAUCACACUGACAACAACAAAUCAGAAAAAUUAACAUCAUUGUUUUCACUAGAAACAGUGAAUGACAAUAACUUCAUACUAUUGGGUUGCCAACUAAGUGAUUGUGAAUUUUAAAUAAGAAGGAAAAUUCCAAAUUUUGGCUUAAAAAUAUAAUUUUAUUCAAUCAGCCAAAAACUGAAUUAAAUGUGAUUUUACAUCACCAGCGUCAUUAAAAAUUUUACCAUUUAAGAAGUUCUGCAUGAAACGAAAUAAAUAAAAAGACGUUCAACUACACAUUUACGACAACACAAUCAAACAGAAAUUCCUGAUUAAAUCUGGGUCGUAGUGUCAUACUACCUGCCAAAAGGUUUUGUAAAAAUCUAACCAGACCGAUUGCUCAUCAGAAUAAAGCCAGGAUCUUCAUUUUAAAAGACUUUGACAUCUGUCUUCAUAUAUUCCUGUGCUGUGAUUACGUGAAAGCUCCACUAGAAGCACUGUAUAUUAGUCCAUAUAAGAUUAUAGACUGAAUAAGUGACUGGAUAUUUAAAAUUAACAUCAAUGGAGAAGAGAAAAAUAUUUCAAUAGACAGAUUGAAACCUGCAUACAUCAGCAAGAUAGACGAUGAUCAAGCGGACUCCACCAGAUCAACAAACCCAACCCCCUCAUCACUGGAAUUCCAUUACGGAUAAAUUUAAACUAACUUACACACGUAAAGUCAAUUUCAAACUUCUCACAGAAACUCAUUCAGGGAGGAGUGGUUGUGCCGACCUCGUUGCGACUGUUACGCCUCCUCUGACAAGAGGAUAAUUAACACGCUAUAAUUAAUACGCUUUGGCGUCACCAAACACACACGUUGGAAAGCUACCAAAAAAAGGAGAGACAACAAGAAGGAUGUUGGAAACAAAAAAAGUCUCUUAAAAUCAUCCAUCUUGAUCAUCGUCAAAAUUAAUUAUCGGAUUAAACUAUUGAUUAAACUACUGAUACCUGAUAAAGUUAAAUAAAUAUAUCUUAAUCAUUAUUUGAUUCGCAAAGUUUCUAUUUACAUAAUGGAUUAUCCACGAAUAAUCCACAAGAGAUUUGUACAUAAUAUCGAAUUUAAGAUUGUUCAACAUUUCUGAUUUUAUAAUAAUUUAUUAAUAAAAUAUAAUAAAAAGAAGAAUAUUCUACAUUAUA